UAACCUUGGAGGAAUAGCUCCUUUAUCACGUUACAGGGUCAUGUAGUAACGUUGUUAAUGGUGUUUUGUUUUGUUCUUCUAUAAGGAAGAGUCAGAGAAGGAGCUAUCCCUGAAGGAGAGGGCGUUCCGUGCAGUGGCCCCCCACUUUGGGGGUCAAGGUAGAGCCUCCAGGAGAGGGAGUUCCGGGCAGUGGCCCCUCACUUUGGGGGUCAAGGUAGAUCCUCCAGGCUCAGGGCAAUUUCCUUCGGCCCCGCCAUUGACUCGUACUUGGAGGACUAUGCAGCAUAUGUGUUUUGUGAAGAGGGCACCACAAAAAUGCAAGAAAAUGCUGUGACCAAGGUCAGCAGAGCAAAGCUCUUCAUAAAAUACAUGAUGCACGGCUGCGAGACAGGCCCGUUUUGGAGCUACGAGUUCCUAUGUUAAAGUGGUAAGUGCUGAAUUAAGAAAUGGUUUACCUUGCUGACUUAUAUCUGCGCUCUACAAUAUGUCUCUUUUAUUUUUGUUCUUUACACAGUUACCCAGCAGCGUUGAGGAGAGUUGGCAUGGCCCCCACCACACUAUCUCUGUACAUGGGACAUCAUAUAAGAAAACUUCAUGUCGCCCAACUCAAAAUGACCAGCUUUUAACGAGCAGUUAACCUGGGCCACCGUACCGGAGUCCUCACACGAAUGAAGGUCAAGGAGGUCAUGGAGCACAAGACGGUCAGGAAGUUUGGCAUGGCCCAGAUCUACCUAACCCUUCUUUCCCGAUCGAGAACCACGAUAUGUGGACAAACAAUUCUGAAUCGUAAAAGAAGCAUGCUAUAAUCGAUUAUACUGGACUGUCUUAACUCCACUGUACUGAGUU